GUUUUCUAUAUGUUUUCGAAGCUCAUCAACCAUGACCCCGUCAAGCGACUAGUCUAUUAUACUAUUGUAGAGGAUUAUUCGUCGAUAAAAGUUAAGAAAAACCUAGCCUCUUUAUGAUGAAAAGAAAUCGAAAAGCUCAAUCAUGUGACUGCGUUUUGCGCUACGGGAGUAUAUAUAGAGAUUUUGAUAUUGUUAUAUCACUGUUGCGGUGCGGUUUUAGAUGCAGUAUAUAUCACCAUUCAUGGCUUUAGUUUCUCGAUAUUUGUAUUUUAAGUUAUAUUUACUAACGAAAAAGAAAACAAUUAAUUUAAGAAUAUGAGUCAAACGUGCAAUUGAGAUUUUCUA
rnacentral:sRNA from 1 species